GACGAACGCUGGCGGCGUGCUUAACACAUGCAAGUCGAACGAAGUGGCGAACGGGUGAGUAAUACGUGGGUACCCUGCCCUCCUUUUUGGGAUAAGCCUUGGAAACGGGGUCUAAUACCGAAUAAAGGGGGAUGGGCUCGCGGCCUAUCAGCUUGUUGGUGGGGUGAUGGCCUACCAAGGCGGUGACGGGUCGCCGGCCUGAGCGGGUGACCGGCCACAUUGGAACUGAGAGACGGCCCAGACUGGUACGGGAGGGAGCAGUUGGGGAUAUUGCGCAAGGGGCGAAAGCCUGAUGCGGCGACGCCGCGUGGGGGAUGAAGGUUUUCGGGUUGUAAACCUCUUUCGCAAGCGAACGGGUAGGGGGAGAAGAAGCGCCGGCUAACUACGUGCCAGCAGCCGCGGUAAUAC
rnacentral:rRNA from 1 species